UCUCUCCCAGCACUCUGGAAGCAUAGCUGAAAUGGCAAACAGAACUAACUCUACUAACUCUAACUCAUACUAUGGCUACGAAUACUAUAUGGACUACGUGGAUCUUCCUCAAGUAGAUGAAAGAAAGUUAAAGGCUAACAAAUAUUCAAUAGUCAUUGCUUUCUGGGUCAGUCUUGCAGCUUUCGUGGUGCUUCUAUUCCUAAUUUUGCUCUACAUGUCCUGGUCUGGCUCAGUUCCGACAAGGAGUGCCCGUUCACACCGUAAGUGCACAUGGAAUUACAUCUUCAACUUGCUCUUCUUUGCCCCAAAAGCCAGAAGCUUUCAAAUCAGCCCCACGAGCAACUCCCAGUCUCAGGGCCAAAUCAAAGAACUUGAAGAUGGAAGUAACCAGCAACAGGGUAAUGACUGUACCCCGGAUUCUGUUCUAAUCACUGCCCCUGACAACACUCCUCCUUUACAAGAAAAUGCACAUUAUAGAGGCCUGGAGGUCUGAGCUGAUAGUACAAUUGCACUAUGUUUAAAAAGAAGCAUGGCAUUCCCUUCCACCUAGACUGAAGACUGAAGGUGGAAGGAAAGCAAGAAUAACCCCAUGGUAUCAGCAAAAAGAACAGAACAAAUCAACCAAACUGGCCAUAUACUUUUGUGGUAGCUAAAAAAAAAAAAAUUUAAAAAAAAGAAAGAAAAAAAAAGACCAUUUAGAUACAGCAACAGGUCAGGUCAAGAUUGACCAUGAGGAAGAUGAGAACAUGUUAUUGCAGUUUUACAAAUAAAGAAUGCUGCUGAUUUUAUGUAGGAUCCUUAAGUAGGUUAGCUGAUGUCUGUGUGUCUCUUGUUGGAGGAUGGGUCCAUAAUGAAAAUUAAAAAAUGAGGAAACGGAGGCACGAGGUGACCUG